CAUGGUUCGAAAUUGAAAGGCGGCUUCGGCUGUCACUUAUGGAUGGACCCGCGUCGCAUUAGCUAGUUGGUGAGGUAACGGCUCACCAAGGCAACGAUGCGUAGCCGACCUGAGAGGGUGAUCGGCCACACUGGGACUGAGACACGGCCCAGACUCCUACGGGAGGCAGCAGUAGGGAAUCUUCCGCAAUGGACGAAAGUCUGACGGAGCAACGCCGCGUGAGUGAUGAAGGCUUUCGGGUCGUAAAACUCUGUUGUUAGGGAAGAACAAGUGCUAGUUGAAUAAGCUGGCACCUUGACGGUACCUAACCAGAAAGCCACGGCUAACUACGUGCCAGCAGCCGCGGUAAUACGUAGGUGGCAAGCGUUAUCCGGAAUUAUUGGGCGUAAAGCGCGCGCAGGUGGUUUCUUAAGUCUGAUGUGAAAGCCCACGGCUCAACCGUGGAGGGUCAUUGGAAACUGGGAGACUUGAGUGCAGAAGAGGAAAGUGGAAUUCCAUGUGUAGCGGUGAAAUGCGUAGAGAUAUGGAGGAACACCAGUGGCGAA
rnacentral:rRNA from 1 species